rnacentral:tRNA from 1 species
CGGGGUGUGGCGCAGUUGGUAGCGCGCGAAGUUUGGGACUUCGAUGCCGCAGGUUCGAAUCCUGUCACUCCGACCA